rnacentral:sRNA from 1 species
CGACCCUUCUUAAGCCGAGGGUCACCUAGCCAACUGACGUUGUUAGUGAAUGAAUACUUGUUCACAAUAAAUUACGGCCAGUCACACAAUAUUGUGGCUGGCUAUUUUUUU